GACGAACGCUGGCGGCGUGCUUAACACAUGCAAGUCGAACGGAAAGGCCCUGCUUUUGUGGGGUGCUCGAGUGGCGAACGGGUGAGUAACACGUGAGUAACCUGCCCUUGACUUUGGGAUAACUUCAGGAAACUGGGGCUAAUACCGGAUAGGAGCUCCUGCUGCAUGGUGGGGGUUGGAAAGUUUCGGCGGUUGGGGAUGGACUCGCGGCUUAUCAGCUUGUUGGUGGGGUAGUGGCUUACCAAGGCUUUGACGGGUAGCCGACCUGAGAGGGUGACCGGCCACAUUGGGACUGAGAUACGGCCCAGACUCCUACGGGAGGCAGCAGUGGGGAAUAUUGCACAAUGGGCGGAAGCCUGAUGCAGCAACGCCGCGUGCGGGAUGACGGCCUUCGGGUUGUAAACCGCUUUCGCCUGUGACGAAGCGUGAGUGACGGCAAUGGGUAAAGAAGCACCGGCUAACUACGUG
rnacentral:rRNA from 1 species